GAUGAACGCUGGCGGCGUGCCUAAUACAUGCAAGUCGAGCGAACAGACGAGGAGCUUGCUCCUCUGACGUUAGCGGCGGACGGGUGAGUAACACGUGUAUAACCUACCUAUAAUACUGGGAUAACUUCGAGAAACCGGAUCUAAUACCGUAUAAUAUAUUGAACCGCAGGGGUCAAUAGUGAAAUACGGUUUUGCUGGCACUUAUAGAGGGAUCCGCGCCGCAUGAGCUAGUUGGGAAGGUAACGGCUUCCCAAGGCAACGAUGCGUAGCCGACGGGAGAGGGUGAUAGGCCGCCCUGGAACUGGACCACGGUCCAGGGUACUAAGGUAGGGCGCAGUCGGGUACCGUAGGCAACGGGGGAAAGCAUGACGGAACAGGCGGAAGUCAGUUGCGGCGGCCUUGGGAUCGUAAUGAUCUGUUAUUGGUGAAGAACCACUGUGUCAGUAAACAUGGCCUUAUUGACGGUAACUAAUAAGGAAGCAACGGCUAACUACGUG
rnacentral:rRNA from 1 species